rnacentral:rRNA from 1 species
CNGNGCGAUUCGAGGUCAACCUUGAGAAGUUGGGGUUUUACGGCAGGGGAUCAGUCCAACUAAUAGGCGAGAUAAAAAAUUACUACGUCUAGAGUGUGAACCAACUCCGCCACUAACUUUGAGGAGCUACGUUACCGUAGGCUCCCAACACUAAGCAACUAAGGCUUAAGGGUUGAAAUGACGCUCGAACGGUCCUGCCCACUAGAAUACUAAUGGGCGCAAUAUGCGUUCAAAGAUUCGAUGAUUCACUGAAUUCUGCAAUUCACAUUACUUAUCGCAUUUCGCUGCGUUCUUCAUCGAUGCCAGAACCAAGAGAUCCGUUGUUGAAAGUUUUAACUUAUUUAGUUAUAGGUUCAGAAUUCAAUAUCAAACAGAGUUUGGUGGGCCGCCGGCAGGCUUACCCGCACCUCCCGGGUAAGUCUUACAGGGUAAGACUACGAGGUAGGCGCGACCUGCCGAGGCAACGUUAGGUAUGUUCACAUGGGUUUGGGAGUUAUAGAACUCUUUAAUGAUCCCUCCGCAGGUUCACCUACGGANG